rnacentral:rRNA from 1 species
CCUACGGGAGGCAGCAGUGGGGAAUAUUGGGCAAUGGGCGCAAGCCUGACCCAGCAACGCCGCGUGAAGGAAGAAGGCUCUCGGGUUGUAAACUUCUUUUAUCAGGGACGAAGCAAGUGACGGUACCUGAUGAAUAAGCCACGGCUAACUACGUGCCAGCAGCCGCUGUAAUACGUAGGUGGCAAGCGUUAUCCGGAUUUACUGGGUGUAAAGGGCGUGUAGGCGGGAAAGCAAGUCAGAUGUGAAAACCAUGGGGUCACCCUGUGGCCUGCAUUUGAAACUGUUUUUAUUGAGUACUGGAGAGGCAGACGGAAUUCCUAGUGUAGCUGUGAAAUGCGUAGAUAGUAGGAGGAACACCAGUGGCGAAGGCGGUCUGCUGGACAGCAACUGACGCUGAGGCGCGAAAGCGUGGGGAGCAAACAGGAUUAGAUACCCUGGUAGUC